CCGGGAGAGAAGAUUCAAAAUUUGAAACGGAAGUAGAUCUAAAACGCACACCUCGGUAAGAGGGCCUGAGAGCAAUUUCUCUCUCUACAUUUCUCUCUCUUUGCUAGGGCUCUGUUGUUAUCUUCUCUUCAGAACACCAUCUCGCCGUCUCGGGUUUUCAAGAUCUGUAGACCUACUGUUUCUCCUCUCAUCUCUUCACCUCCUUUGUCGUUAUAUCUUCCCCUCCCAUGUGCUUCAGUGUAUUUCUUUCCGUUCGACCAUGAUUGUGAUUCUCAUUAAUUCGAGUAUGUAUGUCGACGUUUCCGUUUCCUGCAUCUCGAAUCUUAUAUAUAAUGAGACUGAGAGUAGGUUGGCUGUUCAGAACCACUGUGAGUUUAUCAUUUUAUUGAGCGUAGAAAGAUUUUUGUAAAUCCAAUGCUGUCUCCGCCUCGGUUGAUCUGCUCAUCUCAAAAUAUUUGGAGGUUUGUUAAAUGUAACAUCAACCUCAACUCCAGGCCAGCAACGAAGUUUUAUUACGACCCCAGCCUUCAAGCCAUCUCAGAGUUCACAGCCAGCUUAGAAGGCCCAGUAGAUGAAGUUUUCCCCUGUAUCGAUACCAAAGAAGCAAGUUGUCUCGAUCAGCAGGAAGCUUGACAAAUCUGGUACUACUCUCCGUUGCAACCAUCGUGUUAAUCCCAGCAUCAGCCGUGUUAUAAAACCGCUCUUCUCAAGGGAUAGUUCGCCAAACUUCUCCGAUUUUGAGAUUCACCUACUAUCAAGAAGAGAGGUGAUUCAUGGGAUCACCCUCCUUUUUACUAGAUGAGAUGCAAUGAGCACAUCAGAUAUGAAUAACCCAAGGUUCAUGUAGAUAUCAACGCAGAAGUCAGGGGCAGAGGAAGAGGAGAAUCAACAGUGGAGCAAAUAAAGUGUUCAAGAAAGUGAAAGAAAAAGCUAAGAAGAUUAAGAACAGUCCAACCAAACUUGGUCAUGGUCAUUGUCAUUACCACGAUUAUGAUGUGUACGAAGAAGAAUAUGGCAAGCAAGAAUCAGAGUGACACGAGUGUAUACUCACGGCGGUGUAACUGGUCAACUUGAGUCAUUGUGUCAUCCCGGGAAGCUAAUUUUCAGGCACCGCCGAAGAUAGUUCCACCAGGGGACAAAGAUUUCCCAUCAGUGUCUUUGGAUUAUACCAAACGUCCUGAACCUGAGCCACUACGAGAUACUUUUUAUGGACACGAGUGGAUAGAUACUUUGUAGGCGACGUGAGAAGAGAAGCACCGUCUCAUCCUCCUAAACUUCACGACAUGUCCGAGAGAAAAUAUAGGAUCGAAACUCAUCAGAUUGCAAUAAAACACGCAUGUGUCUUUGUUAAUUGUUAUACACAACAAAGAUGUGAUGAGGACGUGAUGUUUGUUUUAUCUCUUGGUGGAUGUUGCAGGCAAACCCUUUAUCAAAAGUCUAAUGCCAUGUGUGAAUUGGCUUGAAGAGGCUGAGAAACAAAAAAAAAUACGACGUUUCUUUUCAUUUUGUUCUGUAAUUAUGUUCUUUUUUAAAAACAAAUAAUAUUAGUGUUUAUGUCUUUUAACUCUGUUGCUUUCUCCCGAUAAUCUUUUGUUGCAUUCGACC